UAAUAUAUUUGCAUUGAAGGCACAUUAUUCUAGUCAAUUAUGUUUAUUAUGAAGAUGGGAUUAAACCACCAUUAAAGAGCAUAUCUGUGAAGCUUCUGGUGCUUGCUUCUUACGCCCAGUUUGGGGUGAGUGCUGGGAGAAAGAAUUACUGGGCAACCGCAAUGGCAUGCGCAACUGACCCACUAUUCGGGAGACCUAUACUUGUUAUUUACCUAUACACUUUAUGUUGAUGGAUAAAUGACGACUUAGGAUUAAACCUACUAUGUGAUGAAAGUUACGAGUAGUGUAGCUUGUCUUGAGUGAGUAUUGGGAAUAAUUGAACAUUAUAUACGUGAAAUAGCUAAGCACAUAUAUAAAUUGCAAUUUGAAACAAUACUUGCAAAAAAGAAUUAAUAAUAAACGAUUGGUGAGGAAAGCUCCUAGAGUGAUUUAUAUGGGAUUGCAGUGCGUACUAAGUGGCAAUCAAGUCAUAUAGCUGGAAACACUAUAUUAGUUUUUUUAAAGGGGAACCGCUAUUCUGGUAACGGAAAGUAAAGACUAGGGAAAUCCAACUUGACCUAAAGACGUAAAGUUAACUAUAUAAAUAGCCUCUAACUACACUUAAUGU
rfam:Acholeplasma sp. CAG:878 genomic scaffold, scf71